rnacentral:lncRNA from 1 species
CAGCUGAGAAAUCGUUCCAUGUGUCUUCAGUCGGGGAGCCAGGCUGCUGGAGUAUCUGUUCUCUCGAACAUUCCCUGUCUGGACAAUGCUCUGGAAAUAUUGGGUGAGCAACCUAAGUGACUUCUCCAGAGGAAAUGCCUUGGCUGAGUGUUCCCUGUCCCUCUGUGGUGCUUCCGAGGGGAAGGAGGCCAGGAAGCCUGGACUGACCCGAUCCAGAAGGAGAGGAAACCAGAUGUGCACAAGGGACAACGCCAAGAAUUUAGGGAGUACUUCCAGGAUUCUCCACCAGGGGAAUAAACAGAAGUCUAUCAAGCCAGAGCCUGGAAACACAUCAGAUGAGAGAGGCCCAGCCUGCUCCAGGCACCCUCCCUCCGGCAGCCCACCAGGACAACGAAAAGACAUGCCGGGCUGAUCCCCAAUAGCACGGCCCCUACUCAGCUCCGCUUAGAUCAUUUACUCACCACCUCCAACCCCAGGAAUGUGACCUUUGUUGCAAUGAAUCACAUACCUGACUGAGUACUCCCCUGGGAGUCACAAAUCCUAAAUUCUGCCAUCAGCUCUGCCACAGAGCUUCUGUGUGAUCAGACAGGUCAUGACUUCCUGUCUUCUCAUUCAUGAAAUAAUCGAUCUUAUUGUUCUCUGUUGGGAAAUCCAGAUUCUAAAAGCUACAAUCCUCAGAGGGUGAUUUUUAAGGCACUGUGGUGUUGCACCUGUCCUUCCAUGACAGGUGGCCCAGCUCCUGAGUGUGUGGACGUGGGCAUCUCCAUCCUUGCCUCCAUUCUACCGAAAUGCCUUCCAUCCUCCAACCUUGCCGGCCCAGAAUAAAGAUUCAAUGCUCCUCUUGCCUCA